GGAGAAGUGGCAGAGUGGUCGAAUGUACUUGACUCGAAAUCAAGCAUACCGAAAGGUAUCGAGGGUUCGAAUCCCUCCUUCUCCGCCA
rnacentral:tRNA from 1 species